rnacentral:misc_RNA from 1 species
CGCAAAUAUCUCCAUGAAGUAUGGUGACCCCUAAGUUCUUGAAAUUCUCAAUGAGCUUUCCUUUAGCUGGAUCAGAGACUGUGCUCUCCCUAACCAAUGCAAACGUUGGGUGACCAGCUUUCGCCCUUGCUUCCACCACGAACUUCCCGAAAUAACCAGUCCCUCCAAUAAUCAAGAUCUUGCUUUUGUUAGCCAUUGAACUCUUCUUUUGGGUGUUA